rnacentral:rRNA from 1 species
CAGCAGCCGCGGUAAUACGUAGGUGGCGAGCGUUGUCCGGAAUUAUUGGGCGUAAAGCGUGCGCAGGCGGUUGUGUAAGACAGGUGUGAAAUCCCCGGGCUUAACCUGGGAACUGCGCUUGUGACUGCACAGCUAGAGUAUGGCAGAGGGGGGUGGAAUUCCACGUGUAGCAGUGAAAUGCGUAGAGAUGUGGAGGAACACCGAUGGCGAAGGCAGCCCCCUGGGCCAAUACUGACGCUCAUGCACGAAAGCGUGGGGAGCAAACAGGAUUAGAUACCCCGGGUAGUCCCUGUCUCUUAUA